GCUCUUCAAGUUCAGACAGAAUCUACUGCUUUUGAGAUUUUUUUGCUCCUUGUCUCCCAUGCCUGCUGAACACCAGAUUCUCGGGAGGAGUGGAGAUCUGAUUGCUGCAGCACGAUGGAGACCUAUGCUUUAGUCCAUGCAAUCUUUGUCCAUGAUGGACAUGUCUGUAACGAGACCAUCAAGUUGGGGGUUUAUAUCACCACGGUUUUGUUACGGGAUCUGAAGCUGUGGGCUUAAGCUGUGUCCAAGCCCCUUCAUCUAAAAGUGAAAAUAGCUCACCUAGAACUGUUUAACUCACAGUGGUGUGAAAAUGAAGUGUAGGUAUCAACACACACUUACAGAGUCAUUCCAGGCUCUCUUCUAUGACUAUGAAGGAAAUGCUGAAAUGCACUCUUCAUGGAAAAGAAUGCACACCAGAAAUAUGCAAGGAAGGAGCAUGCCCAGGUGCCCUCAGCCUUGAACAAGGAAUGGAAAGUGAGCAGCCUUCCAGAAACCCGUGUUAUUCCCUGCAGGUUACCACUCUCUCCAAAGAUGCACUGUGGUACCUGCACAGAUGAACUCAUGGCACUGACAACACCAUGUACAAAACCUGCUCAAGCCCAAGCCAAACAAAAGCCGCUCAAAGAGGGGAGUUGCCUACCCAGUCUCAGCCAGCCAUAGUGUUAUUGGCAAUUGUCAGCUGCUGAGGGAGGAGAAGACAGUGCUCUCUAGGAAUGCUGAUCACUCUCUGGUGAAAGUUGAUCUGAACCC
rnacentral:lncRNA from 1 species